AGCAGCCGCGGUAAUUCCAGCUCCAAUAGCGUAUAUUAAAGUUGUUGCAGUUAAAAAGCUCGUAGUUGAAUUUCGGGGUUAGUAGGUUGGUCAUGCCUCUGGUAUGUACUGGUCUCGCUGAUUCCUCCUUCCUGAUGAGCCGUAAUGCCAUUAAUUUGGUGUUGCGGGGAAUUUGGACUGUUACUUUGAAAAAAUUAGAGUGUUUAAAGCAAGCUAACGCUUGAAUACAUUAGCAUGGAAUAAUGAAAUAGGACGUUCGAUCCUAUUUUGUUGGUUUCUAGGAUUGACGUAAUGAUUAAUAGGGAUAGUUGGGGGCAUUAGUAUUCAAUUGUCAGAGGUGAAAUUCUUGGAUUUAUUGAAGACUAACUACUGCGAAAGCAUUUGCCAAGGAUGUUUUCAUUAAUCAAGAACGAAAGUUAGGGGAUCGAAGACGAUCAGAUACCGUCGUAGUCUUAACCAUAAACUAUGCCGACUAGGGAUCGGAUGAUGUUAAUUUUUUAAUGACUCAUUCGGCGCCUUACG
rnacentral:rRNA from 1 species